GACGUAGGGCGCGAGCGUUGUCCGGAAUUACUGGGCGUAAAGAGCUCGUAGGUGGUUUGUCGCGUUGUUCGUGAAAACUCACAGCUCAACUGUGGGCGUGCGGGCGAUACGGGCAGACUAGAGUACUGCAGGGGAGACUGGAAUUCCUGGUGUAGCGGUGGAAUGCGCAGAUAUCAGGAGGAACACCGGUGGCGAAGGCGGGUCUCUGGGCAGUAACUGACGCUGAGGAGCGAAAGCGUGGGGAGCAAACAGG
rnacentral:rRNA from 1 species